GAUGAAGAACGUAGCAAAAUGCGAUAAGUAAUGUGAAUUGCAGAAUUCAGUGAAUCAUCGAAUCUUUGAACGCACAUUGCGCCCGCUGGUAUUCCGGCGGGCAUGCCUGUUCGAGCGUCAUUUCAACCCUCAAACCCCCGGGUUUGGUGUUGGGGAUCGGCUCUGCCUCACGGCGGUGCCGCCCCCGAAAUACAUUGGCGGUCUCGCUGCAGCCUCCAUUGCGUAGUAGCUAACACCUCGCAACUGGAACGCGGCGCGGCCAUGCCGUAAAACCCCAACUUCUGAAUGUUGACCUCGGAUCAGGUAGGAAUACCCGCUGAACUUAAGCAUAUCAUAAGCGGAGGA
rnacentral:misc_RNA from 1 species